rnacentral:rRNA from 1 species
AUGAUCCUCAACGAUGAUGGAACCUAUGACUCCAUGAGUGAAGAGGAAAUGGAAGCCCUUGAGCAAGUGGCCAUGCACCGGCGAGUGAACGGAGGUGAAGAUGAUCAAGUCUUUUGUGAUGAAGAUUCGAGCCCCGCUCUCGUUGUCUCCAAAGUCUUGACUCUUCAACAUCAACAAGAAGAAGACCAAAGAUGCCACAUCUUUCACACAAAGGCCGGCAUCAAUGGAAGGUCCGUCAAGGUCAUCAUCGAUGGAGGUAGUUGCCACAACUUGGCAAGUGAUGAACUAUUCUCCAAGCUUCAAUUGGUCAAGAUGAAGCACCCGCACCCAUACAAAGUCCAAUGGCUAAGUGACUCCGGCACUAUACGAGUUGAGCAUACGGUCCAAGUCUCCUUCAAGAUUGGCGCAUAUGAGGACACUUUGAAGUGUGAUGUCAUCCCGAUGUCUGUUUUCCACCUCCUUCUUGGUCGACCAUGGCAAUUCGACCGCGGCGUCAUCCACAAUGGGCGUACCAAUCACUAUAGCUUCAAGAUGAAAGGGAAGGAGUAUGUGCUACGACCUAUGUCUCCUAGUCAAGUGAUAGCUGACAAGCAAGCCACCCAUCAUGGAGGGAAGAGUGAGAAAGUGACCCACCAAAAAGUGAGUGAGAGCCACAAGCCACACUUGAGCGCCUCUUCGCGUAGAGAGAAAAACCUAGUCCUUUUUUCCACCAAAAGUGAGACGAGAGAAGUGUGUGAGAACCCAUCCAAUGUUAUGCAAUUUGUCCUUGUGUGCAAGGAUGGGGAACCAAAACCUAACACCUCUCACGAUCUACCUUUAGUGUUUCAAUCUCUUUUGCAGGAAUUCCAAGAUGUUUUCCCCGAUGAACUACCUCCGGGUCUACCUCCUCUACGAGGCAUUGAGCAUCAAAUCGAUCUCAUCCCCAGAGCGCCCCUACCAAACAAAGCUCCAUACCGCGUCAACCCCAAAGAAACUAAGGAGAUCCAACGGCAAGUACAACAAUUAAUUGACAACGGUCAUGUACGUGAAAGCUUAAGCCCUUGUGUCGUUCCCGUUAUACUUGUGCCCAAGCAAGACAGUAGUUUUCGCAUGUGCUCGGAUUGUAGACCCAUCAAUGCUAUUACCGUUCGUUAUAGGUAUCCCAUUCCUCGCUUAGAUGAUAUGCUUGAUGAACUUAGCGGUGCCACCAUUUUCUCAAAAAUUGUUCUUAAAAGUGGCUACUAUCAAAUCCGCAUACAAGAAGGUGAUGAAUGGAAAACCGCUUUCAAA